rnacentral:rRNA from 1 species
GAUGAACGCUGGCGGCGUGCCUAAUACAUGCAAGUCGAGCGAACGGACGAGAAGCUUGCUUCUCUGAUGUUAGCGGCGGACGGGUGAGUAACACGUGGAUAACCUACCUAUAAGACUGGGAUAACUUCGGGAAACCGGAGCUAAUACCGGAUAAUAUUUUGAACCGCAUGGUUCAAAAGUGAAAGACGGUCUUGCUGUCACUUAUAGAUGGAUCCGCGCUGCAUUAGCUAGUUGGUAAGGUAACGGCUUACCAAGGCAACGAUGCAUAGCCGACCUGAGAGGGUGAUCGGCCACACUGGAACUGAGACACGGUCCAGACUCCUACGGGAGGCAGCAGUAGGGAAUCUUCCGCAAUGGGCGAAAGCCUGACGGAGCAACGCCGCGUGAGUGAUGAAGGUCUUCGGAUCGUAAAACUCUGUUAUUAGGGAAGAACAUAUGUGUAAGUAACUGUGCACAUCUUGACGGUACCUAAUCAGAAAGCCACGGCUAACUACGUGCCAGCAGCCGCGGUAAUACGUAGGUGGCAAGCGUUAUCCGGAAUUAUUGGGCGUAAAGCGCGCGUAGGCGGUUUUUUAAGUCUGAUGUGAAAGCCCACGGCUCAACCGUGGAGGGUCAUUGGAAACUGGAAAACUUGAGUGCAGAAGAGGAAAGUGGAAUUCCAUGUGUAGCGGUGAAAUGCGCAGAGAUAUGGAGGAACACCAGUGGCGAAGGCGACUUUCUGGUCUGUAACUGACGCUGAUGUGCGAAAGCGUGGGGAUCAAACAGGAUUAGAUACCCUGGUAGUCCACGCCGUAAACGAUGAGUGCUAAGUGUUAGGGGGUUUC